AGUGAACGCUGGCGGUAGGCCUAACACAUGCAAGUCGAACGGCAGCACAGUAAGAGCUUGCUCUUACGGGUGGCGAGUGGCGGACGGGUGAGGAAUACAUCGGAAUCUACUUUUUCGUGGGGGAUAACGUAGGGAAACUUACGCUAAUACCGCAUACGACCUACGGGUGAAAGCAGGGGAUCUUCGGACCUUGCGCGAGUGAAUGAGCCGAUGUCGGAUUAGCUAGUUGGCGGGGUAAAGGCCCACCAAGGCGACGAUCCGUAGCUGGUCUGAGAGGAUGAUCAGCCACACUGGAACUAAGACACGGUCCAGACUCCUACGGGAGGCAGCAGUGGGGAAUAUUGGACAAUGGGCGCAAGCCUGAUCCAGCCAUACCGCGUGGGUGAAGAAGGCCUUCGGGUUGUAAAGCCCUUUUGUUGGGAAAGAAAAGCAGCAGGUUAAUACCCCGCUGUUCUGACGGUACCCAAAGAAUAAGCACCGGCUAACUUCGUG
rnacentral:rRNA from 1 species